AAUAGACGCCGUUUAUCUUGUUUCCCGCGUAAAGUAAGACCCGCCCACGACUCUGCGACUGCGUUGGCGCCAAAACUUCUAAAUUCCUUAAAUGUCCCUGAAGGUUCUUCACUCUGGUCGGAGCAGCUCUUCCCUGAGGACACAAACAAGUAAUAUUGCCAACAUACUGAGGGACCCUGAGAGACCUGAGGACAUCAGCCAAGGCAUGAUGGAGCUGAGCUUCACCCCUAAAGGACCACAGUGUCCCGAGCAGAUUCCCUGCCAAUCAUACUACAAGUGAAACGUGGGACUUGUCUGCUGUGUUCCCGUGAGCCCUGCGCUGAGUUUAGUGUUCAGUGUAAAUACUGUGCAGAAAGUUGACGAAGAAGCAGCUUCAAGUGGAGCGAACUCUAAGGAGAGGAACCUGGUCUCACAGAGAGAACAAAGGUGAUGGACGGGUUGACAGGACGAGGACAAGACGAGCCGCCACAGGAGGCUGAAGUGUCACCUGUACUUUACACACCUGGCUGAUACAUCUGCAGCGUAGCGAUGGUCACUGU